AGAGUUUGAUCAUGGCUCAGAUUGAACGCUGGCGGCGUGCCUAACACAUGCAAGUCGAGCGGUAACAGGUGUAGCAAUACAUGCUGACGAGCGGCGAACGGGUGAGUAAUGCUUUGGAAUCUUCCCAGUAGUGGGGAAUAACCAGUCGAAAGAUUGGCUAAUACCGCAUACGUCUGUAAAGGGAAAGCGGGGGCUCGUAAGACCUCGCGCUAUUGGAUGAGCCAAAGUCGGAUUAGCUAGUUGGUGGGGUAAUGGCCUACCAAGGCGACAAUCCGUAGCUGGUCUGAGAGGACGACCAGCCACACCGGAACUGAGACACGGUCCGGACUCCUACGGGAGGCAGCAGUGGGGAAUAUUGGACAAUGGGGGCAACCCUGAUCCAGCAAUGCCGCGUGUGUGAAGAAGGCCUUCGGGUUGUAAAGCACUUUCGGUGGGGACAAACAAGGCGGAGCUAACAUCUCCGUCCCUGAUGGUACCCAAAGAAGAAGCACCGGCUAACUCUGUGCCAGCAGCCGCGGUAAUACAGAGGGUGCAAGCGUUAAUCGGAAUUACUGGGCGUAAAGCGUGCGUAGGUGGUUUGUUAAGUCAGGUGUGAAAUCCUCGGGCUCAACCCGGGAACUGCGCUUGAUACUGGCAGACUCGAGUGUGGUAGAGGAUAGUGGAAUUCCCCGGUGUAGCGGUGAAAUGCGUAGAUAUCGGGAGGAACAUCAGUGGCGAAGGCGGCUAUCUGGACCAACACUGACACUGAGGUACGAAAGCGUGGGUAGCAAACAGGAUUAGAUACCCUGGUAG
rnacentral:rRNA from 1 species